GACGAACGCUGGCGGCGUGCUUAACACAUGCAAGUCGAACGAUGAAGAAGAGAAACGCGAACUUCGGUUCAACUUUCACUUCGGAUUAGUGGCAGACGGGUGAGUAACGCGUGAGCAACCUACCUCUUACAAAGGGAUAGCCUCGGGAAACCGUGAUUAAUACCAUAUGACACAUUCAUAAGGCAUCUUAAGAAUGUUAAAGCUACGGCGGUAAGAGAUGGGCUCGUGUCCCAUUAGCUAGUUGGUGAGGUAACGGCCCACCAAGGCGACGAUGGGUAACCGGCCUGAGAGGGUGAACGGUCACAUUGGAACUGAGACACGGUCCAAACUCCUACGGGAGGCAGCAGUGGGGAAUAUUGCACAAUGGAGGGAACUCUGAUGCAGCGACGCCGCGUGAGCGAUGAAGGAAUUCGUUUCGUAAAGCUCUGUUCUAUGGGAAGAAAAGGACUGUACCAUAGGAGAAAGCCCCGGCUAAAUACGUG
rnacentral:rRNA from 1 species